rnacentral:tRNA from 1 species
AACUAAGUAGUUUAUUUAAAAUAUGUAAUUUGCACUUACAUGAAAGAUUCAUUCUCUUAGUUG